rnacentral:rRNA from 1 species
AAGGUUAUCCCCGGGAGAAAUUUUACAUUCAAUAAGGGAGGAAAAGAAACCAACCGGGAUUGCCUCAGUAACGGCGAGUGAAGCGGCAACAGCUCAAAUUUGAAAUCUGGCUCUUUCAGGGUCCGAGUUGUAAUUUGUAGAAGAUGCUUUGGGUGUGGCUCCGGUCUAAGUUCCUUGGAACAGGACGUCAUAGAGGGUGAGAAUCCCGUAUGUGACUGGCAGCCUUCGCCCGUGUAAAGCUCUUUCGACGAGUCGAGUUGUUUGGGAAUGCAGCUCAAAAUGGGUGGUAAAUUUCAUCUAAAGCUAAAUACUGGCCAGAGACCGAUAGCGCACAAGUAGAGUGAUCGAAAGAUGAAAAGCACUUUGGAAAGAGAGUUAAACAGUACGUGAAAUUGUUGAAAGGGAAGCGCUUGCAACCAGACUUGCAUGCGGUUGAUCAUCCGGGGUUCUCCCCGGUGCACUCUGCCGCGUUCAGGCCAGCAUCGGUUCUGGUGGUCGGAUAAAGGCCCUGGGAAUGUGGCUCCCUUCGGGGAGUGUUAUAGCCCUCGGUGCAAUGCAGCCUACCGGGACCGAGGACCGCGCUUCGGCUAGGAUGCUGGCGUAAUGGUUGUAAGCGACCCGUCUUGAAACACGGACCAAGGAGUCUAACAUCUAUGCGAGUGUUUGGGUGUCAAACCCAUACGCGUAAUGAAAGUGAACGGAGGUGAGAACCCUUAAGGGUGCAUCAUCGACCGAUCCUGAUGUCUUCGGAUGGAUUUGAGUAAGAGCAUAGCUGUUGGGACCCGAAAGAUGGUGAACUAUGCGUGAAUAGGGUGAAGCCAGAGGAAACUCUGGUGGAGGCUCGCAGCGGUUCUGACGUGCAAAUCGAUCGUCAAAUUUGCGCAUAGGGGCGAAAGACUAAUCGAC